UCCUCCCGGCCCGGCCCCACGCAGCGGCGGCGGGGCGGAGGAGAGGGCGGCUCCCAGGCGAGGAGACCCCGCCCGGCGCUACCGAGGCGGCCGCCGACGCGCGUCCCGGCGAGAGACGACGCUCGCUCCAGGAGAAGCCCGGCCUCGGCAAGCAUGAUAGCGGGGGACACUGUCAUCGUACCUGGAUCGCUGGAAGAACCCACACUGGGGUGAGGAGAAAAAGAAGAGUUUAGACUGAAGUUGCUGUGGAAGUACAACAACUACAGAGGCAAUGCAUUCUUCAUAAAGAUUCAGAGGGAAGAAGUGCAAGACAAGCACAAGCAAGACAAGUUUCUCAUCUGACCAAAAAAUUCCCUCCCUGUGGCUCCUACUAAGGCUGAAACAUUAAGCAGAUACAUAGCCAAUACUCGUUUAGGGCACUGCCCUACUCCGAGCCGUGUAGUAAGAAGUACUAUGCACUGCUCAACUGCACUGUGAUCUUCAGGCUGCCUUCGGCCAUCUAAGAAGCACAUGAACCGCAUCACAGGCAAGAUGACACCAGCUGGUGAGGAAUUAACUCUACAGGACCGGUUCCAUCUUCUUUUCCUCCCUUGGGUUCCGAGUCAGACUGGAGCAGUUAGUACUGUCCCUAUAGCCAUAAAUAACCCAGAGUUGUAUCCUGAGCCUUAGUCUUGUCUUUGAAGAAGUGAGGUUAAGCUGCAAGAAUAUAAUUAGACGGAGGAGCCUCACUGCACCCCCAUUUGAUGAUAUAGCUGGUAUCCUGCAGCACCAUGGGAGGUGAAUUUGAGAAAGAACUAUGAAGCUACAAAAAUAACAUUAUCUGCUAAAUCUCAAAAGCUUUUUCUCUCAGUAGUGUAUGAAAGAAUAGCUUGCAUCAUCAUUAUUAGUACAAGCUCUCACUGCAGCUCGCUCUCACUCCUAAGUCACAGCUGCAACAUCCAGAGCUACGGAAAUACAUAGGAGCAAUUCAGCUGAUGGCCCUCGGUAAAGUUAAGGUUAGACUGAUCAUCCUAGGCAACAGGCUGAUGAAAGAGGGCUCCUUUUUUAAACUUUACCAAACUGGUUUUCCAUGUUUCUGUAGCAAGAUGUUUUUUUAAAGAAACAAUGUAUCAUGAACGGAGGAGUGGACAACCUGAAAAUAAAAAGUCUGUUCCACAACCAAGAUUCAUCCUGUUGCCAAGAUUACAAAGAAGGACCAACUCAGAGUUAGAAAAAUAAUUUAAAAUGUCUACAGUCUCAAGAAUUUUAUUUUGCUAAGCAGAUGUUUAAGUCCUUAAUUCUAAGAAAUUACAAUAAUACAGCAAUGGAAAUUACUUUUCAGGAAGCUGCACAGAAACACAGAUCAUUCAGAACAUUUACAAAGAUGUUUUGGGUCUACAGGAAGCUAGACCUGUAA